UACGUAGGGUGCAAGCGUUGUCCGGAAUUAUUGGGCGUAAAGAGCUCGUAGGCGGCUUGUCGCGUCGAAUGUGAAAUCUCAGGGCUCAACUCUGACAUUGCAUUCGAUACGGGCAGGCUAGAGUUCGGUAGGGGAGACUGGAAUUCCUGGUGUAGCGGUGAAAUGCGCAGAUAUCAGGAGGAACACCGAUGGCGAAGGCAGGUCUCUGGGCCGAUACUGACGCUGAGGAGCGAAAACGUGGGGAGCGAACAGG
rnacentral:rRNA from 1 species